AUUGAACGCUGGCGGCAGGCCUAACACAUGCAAGUCGAGCGGAUGACGGGAGCUUGCUCCUUGAUUCAGCGGCGGACGGGUGAGUAAUGCCUAGGAAUCUGCCUGGUAGUGGGGGACAACGUUUCGAAAGGAACGCUAAUACCGCAUACGUCCUACGGGAGAAAGCAGGGGACCUUCGGGCCUCGCGCUAUCAGCUGAGCCUAGGUCGGAUUAGCUAGUAGGUGAGGUAAUGGCUCACCUAGGCGACGAUCCGUAACUGGUCUGAGAGGAUGAUCAGUCACACUGGAACUGAGACACGGUCCAGACUCCUACGGGAGGCAGCAGUGGGGAAUAUUGGACAAUGGGCGAAAGCCUGAUCCAGCCAUGCCGCGUGUGUGAAGAAGGUCUUCGGAUUGUAAAGCACUUUAAGUUGGGAGGAAGGGCAGUAAGUUAAUACCUUGCUGUUUUGACGUUACCGACAGAAUAAGCACCGGCUAACUCUGUGCCAGCAGCCGCCGCAG
rnacentral:rRNA from 1 species